rnacentral:misc_RNA from 1 species
UGUGUAUGAUAUCAUGAAACGGCAAGUUGUUGAGUUGGCUCGGCAAACUUUCCGCCCAGAGUUCAUGAAUCGGAUUGAUGAAUAUAUUGUUUUCCAGCCUUUGGACUCCAAAGAAAUCAGUAAAAUCGUUGAGAUACAGAUGAGCCGAGUGAAAGAGAGACUCAAACAAAAGAAAAUCGAUCUUCAUUACACCAAGGAAGCCAUAGUACUUUUAGCGACAUUAGGAUUUGACCCGAAUUUUGGAGCUAGGCCAGUUAAGCGGGUUAUACAGCAGUUGGUUGAGAAUGAAAUUGCAAUGGGAGUCCUGAGGGGAGAGUUCAAGGAUGAGGAUUCAAUUAUCGUCGACGCUGAUGUAUCUUCGGACCUACCUCCCCAAAGCAAGUUGCGAGUAAAGAAAUUAGACAGCAGCUCCCCAUCGGAAGCCAUGGUUGCCAAUGACUAAUAAUUUUGUUGUUGUGAAUACGUUCAACAAAAGCUUUGCUUUGGCAUUUGUGUGUAUCAUAGUGCAGAGACAAUGAUGAGGCUAUGCUUUUUUUUUAAUUACAAAUUGCGUUACAC